AAUCCGUGUUGUGGACACUUCCGCAAAAGGUCUUUGAAACGCUCCCAUGUCUCAAACAAGUACUCAAGCUCCAUCUGAACAAACAACGAAAUCUCAUUGUGAAGCUU